rnacentral:rRNA from 1 species
AUUGAACGCUGGCGGCAUGCCUUACACAUGCAAGUCGAACGGCAGCAUGAUCUAGCUUGCUAGAUUGAUGGCGAGUGGCGAACGGGUGAGUAAUACAUCGGAACGUGCCUUGUAGUGGGGGAUAACUAGUCGAAAGAUUAGCUAAUACCGCAUACGACCUGAGGGUGAAAGUGGGGGACCGCAAGGCCUCAUGCUAUAGGAGCGGCCGAUGUCUGAUUAGCUAGUUGGUGAGGUAAAGGCUCACCAAGGCGACGAUCAGUAGCUGGUCUGAGAGGACGAUCAGCCACACUGGGACUGAGACACGGCCCAGACUCCUACGGGAGGCAGCAGUGGGGAAUUUUGGACAAUGGGCGAAAGCCUGAUCCAGCAAUGCCGCGUGUGUGAAGAAGGCCUUCGGGUUGUAAAGCACUUUUGUCCGGAAAGAAAUGGCUCUGGUUAAUACCUGGGGUCGAUGACGGUACCGGAAGAAUAAGGACCGGCUAACUACGUG